CAGCAGCCGCGGGAAUACAGAGGGUGCGAGCGUUAAUCGGAUUUACUGGGCGUAAAGCGUGCGUAGGCGGCUUCUUAAGUCGGAUGUGAAAUCCCUGAGCUUAACUUAGGAAUUGCAUUCGAUACUGGGAAGCUAGAGUAUGGGAGAGGAUGGUAGAAUUCCAGGUGUAGCGGUGAAAUGCGUAGAGAUCUGGAGGAAUACCGAUGGCGAAGGCAGCCAUCUGGCCUAAUACUGACGCUGAGGUACGAAAGCAUGGGGAGCAAACAGGAUUAGAUACCCCCGUAGUCCCUGUCUCUUAUACACA
rnacentral:rRNA from 1 species